AUUGAACGCUGGCGGAAUGCUUUACACAUGCAAGUCGAACGGUAGAGGGGGCAACCCCUCGAGAGUGGCGAACGGGUGAGUAAUAUAUCGGAACGUGCCCAGUCGUGGGGGAUAACGUAGCGAAAGUUACGCUAAUACCGCAUACGAGCUAAGGAUGAAAGCGGGGGAUCGCAAGACCUCGCGCGAUUGGAGCGGCCGAUAUCAGAUUAGGUAGGUGGGGGGGUAAAGGCUCACCAAGCCAACGAUCUGUAGCUGGUCUGCGAGGACGACCAGACACACUGGAACUGAGACACGGUCCAGACUACUACGGGAGGCAGCAGUGGGGAAUUUUGGACAAUGGACGCAAGUCUGAUCCAGCCAUUCCGCGUGCAGGAUGAAGGCCCUCGGGUUGUAAACUGCUUUUGUACGGAACGAAAAGGUCUCUCUUAAUACGGGGGGCUCAUGACGGUACCGUAAGAAUAAGCACCGGCUAACUACGUGCCAGCCGCCGCAGUAA
rnacentral:rRNA from 1 species